rnacentral:rRNA from 1 species
UACGUAGGGUGCGAGCGUUGUCCGGAAUUACUGGGCGUAAAGAGCUUGUAGGUGGUUUGUCGCGUUGUUCGUGAUAUCUCACGGCUUAACUGUGAGCGUGCGGGCGAUACGGGCAGACUAGAGUACUGCAGGGGAGACUGGAAUUCCUGGUGUAGCGGUGGAAUGCGCAGAUAUCAGGAGGAACACCGGUGGCGAAGGCGGGUCUCUGGGCAGUAACUGACGCUGAGAAGCGAAAGCGUGGGGAGCGAACAGG